rnacentral:rRNA from 1 species
AGAGCUAAUACAUGCCACGAAGCCCUGACCCCGCUCGUGGGGAAUGGGUGCACUUAUUAGAACAGAAGCCAACCAGUCCUUCGGGGGUGGGCUGUAGAACUUCUGGUGACUCUGGAUAAUUGUUACAGAUCGCAGUCGGCUUUAGUCGGCGACGGGUCCUUCAAAUGUCUGCCCUAUCAACUUUCGAUGGUAGGUGACCUGCCUACCAUGGUGAUAACGGGUAACGGGGAAUCAGGGUUCGAUUCCGGAGAGGGAGCCUGAGAAACGGCUACCACUUCCAAGGGAGGCAGCAGGCGCGCAAAUUACCCACUCCCGGUACGGGGAGGUGGUGACGAAAAAUACCGAUGCGGGACUCAUUAACGAGGCUCCGUAAUCGGAAUGAGUGGACUCUAAAUCCUUUCACGAGGAUCAAUUGGAGGGCAAGUCUGGUGCCAGCAGCCGCGGUAACUCCAGCUCCAAUAGCGUAUAUUAAAGUUGCUGCAGUUAAAAAGCUCGUAGUUGGAUCUCGGUAGCAUUGUUGCCUGCUCAGUUGUCAUGCACUGCGGCGUGCAUCACAUCGUGCUAUCCACGCUGUGGUGGGCUCGCGGUGGGUGUACACUAAAACCGUAGUGUUUUGAGCUGGCGUGGCGAUGGUGUCACCUUUGAGCCAUGUCUGUGGCUUAACGGUCACAGGUGUAAUCGAGUGUCGGGCAGUGCUCUGCACCCGCUGUGGGGCCUGCCGGCUCGUUUGCAUGCCAAUGAAUGCCCUUCAAAAGGUGUUCAUGGGCGGAUGGCACGUUUACUUUGAACAAAUUUGAGUGCUCAAAUCAGGCCGAUGUCGCCUGAAAAGUUUUGCAUGGAAUAAUGGAAUAGGACUUCGGUUCUAUUUCGUUGGUUUUCGGAUCCGAAGUAAUGAUCAAAAGAGACAGGCGGGGACGUUUGUAUGGCUGCGUUAGAGGUGAAAUUCAUGGAUCGUAGCCAGACAGACUAAAGCGAAAGCAUUCGUCAAGCAUGUUUUCAUUGGCCAUGAGCGAAAGUCAGAGGCUCGAAGACGAUCAGAUACCGUCCUAGUUCUGACCAUAAACGAUGCCAACUGACGAUCCGUGGCGGUAGUUUAAACCUUCCCCACGGGCAGUCCCCGGGAAACCUUUAAGUCUUUGGGUUCCGGGGGAAGUAUGGUUGCAAAGCUGAAACUUAAAGGAAUUGACGGAAGGGCACCACCAGGAGUGGAGCCUGCGGCUUAAUUUGACUCAACACGGGAAAACUCACCCGGGCCGGACACUAUGAGGAUUGACAGAUUGAUAGCUCUUUCUUGAUUUGGUGGUUGGUGGUGCAUGGCCGUUCUUAGUUGGUGGAGCGAUUUGUCUGGUUAAUUCCGAUAACGAACGAGACUCCAGCCUGCUAAUUAGUGCAUUUGUCCACUGUACCAGCCGAGCGGCGCAGAUGUGGGAUCCAUUGCGUGUGGCUGGCCUGCUGCUCGCCACGUUAGCUAGCAGGUGCGGCGCGAAUGCUUACUUCUUAGAGGGACACGCGGAGGAAACCGCACGAAAUAGAGCAAUAACAGGUCUGUGAUGCCCUUAGAUGUCCGGGGCCGCACGCGCGCUACAAUGGCGGUGUCAACGAGUCAGACCUUCUGGCCUGAAAAGGUUGGGUAAACUGGUCAAUCACCGUCAUGACAGGGAUCGGGGCUUGGAAUUGUUCCCCGUGAACGAGGAAUUCCUAGUAAGUGCAAGUCAUAAGCUUGCGCUGAUUACGUCCCUGCCCUUUGUACACACCGCCCGUCGCUACUACCGAUUGAAUGGUUUAGUAAGGUCCUUGCAUUUAGGUU